rnacentral:sRNA from 1 species
CUAUAACCCCGGUAGGAGCGGCAUCCUUUGCUUUUUUGAUUAAAAAAAAGCAAAGAUAUAGCGGAUAACGGGACGAUGU